rnacentral:rRNA from 1 species
CUACGGGGGGCUGCAGUGAGGAAUAUUGCACAAUGGGGGAAACCCUGAUGCAGCAACGCCGCGUGGAGGAUGACGCAUUUCGGUGUGUAAACUCCUUUUAUCAGAGAAGAAAAUGACGGUAUCUGAUGAAUAAGCUCCGGCUAACUCCGUGCCAGCAGCCGCGGUAAUACGGAGGGAGCAAGCGUUAUUCGGAAUCACUGGGCGUAAAGGACGCGUAGGCGGGUUUUUAAGUCAGGUGUGAAAUCCUAUGGCUCAACCAUAGAACUGCACUUGAAACUGGGGACCUAGAGUAUGGAAGGGGCAGGUGGAAUUAGUGGUGUAGGGGUAAAAUCCGUAGAUAUCACUAGGAAUACCGAAAGCGAAGGCGACCUGCUGGGACAUUACUGACGCUGAGGCGUGAAAGCGUGGGGAGCAAACAGGAUUAGAUACCCUGGUAGUC